GUCUACCGUCCGUGCCCAGUGUUCCUGUUGGCUGGUUCCCCCCCCCCCCGGUCUGUCUGCAGGAUCACGGUCAGAAUUUUAACCUUGUCCAAGUGGACUUCUGUCGGUCGGUCUGUCUGUUUGCUGGGCCUGCAUUUGGUCGCCCUGCCUCAACUCAUUCCUGAGACAAAUAAUACAAACAGUUGGAGUGCCUGGGAGAGCGGAGGCUUCGUGGCCGUUUGUCUGCCGUCGAUCAUCGGACACAAAGUAUGGCUGCGGAUCGAGAGUUUGUUUUCUCUCCCUCUCCACCCCCUCCCUCCCCCCUCCCCGGCCGGGGAGGUGGUUAGGUGGUACCCAUGCUGACAGCGGCUAUCUGGAUUCUCGUGGCCAAUUCAGGAUAGGGGAACUGCAGCUCAACCUCCUCGAAGAGCACUGCCAGGACAAUUGAGGGCUCCUUUCGGCAGCCCUCUGCUGUGACAUGGACAUCCACUUUUUAUUUAAUUGAUUUUCAUGUUGUAUCAUUUGUGCCCUCUCUGCAUCCAUUUCAACCUGGUGAUCCUGAAAGGGGGAUCCUUCCAUCUGUGGUCCCUUCUCAAGGUUUCUCAUUUUCCCCCUGCUAGGGGUUUUUAAGUUUUUCCUUGCCCUUUUGGGAGCUUAAGAUCAGGGGAUGCUUUGAGAAUAAUUGUCAAUUUCUGUCUAUGUGAAGCCCUUUGAGACUGCUUGUGAUUUAGGGCUAUACAAAUAAACUUGACUUGACUUGACU